AUGGCCCUCGUUCCAAGCAGGACCCUCGUCUCCGACCAAGGCGCGUUUGCCUUGGGCUUCUUUUCCCCUUCCAACGCAACAGGGAAGAUGUACGUCGGCAUAUGGUUCAACGACAUCCCGCAGCGCAACCGCACCGUCGUGUGGGUCGCCAACCGCGACGAGCCCAUCACAGACGCCUCAUCGGCGAUGCUCGCUGUGGCCGACGACUCCGGCCUCGUCCUGUCCGAAACCGACGGCCGCCGCGAACUCUGGAAGGCGAACACGGCCACGCUGUGGCAGAGCUUUGAGAACCCGAGCGACGCCAUCCUCGCCGGCAUGCCGCUCCGGACGAGCCACAGGACGCGCCCGCCGUCACGGGUUGUCUCCUGGAGGGGCCCCGAAGACCCGUCCAGAGGCGCCUUCUCCGGCGUGAGCCCGCUGAUGUACCUGACCAUCUCCACGGGCGCCGACGGCGAGACCUACUCGACGUUCGGGCUCUCGGACGGCUCCUCCAAGGUGUGGUACAAGGCGGAGUACUCCGGCGAGGUCGCCUUCUUGAGAUGGAACGCCAGCUCCUCGGAAUGGACGCCCAUCUCACGCUCGCCAGCUUACAAGUGCAAUACCUACGGGUACUGCGGUGCCUACGGCUACUGCGACAACACGGACGCCAUUCCAACAUGCAGGUGCCUCGAUGGAUUCGGCCCCAGCGAUGAAGCAGAGUGGGCCGGCGGCAACUUCUCCCGAGGUUGCCGGCGGAAGGAGGCGCUGCGGUGCGGCGGAGGGGACGGCUUCUUGACCUUGCCGGCCAUGAAGGCGCCGGACAGAUUCUUGCGUUUGUGGAACAAAAGCUUUGAUGACUGCGCGGCAGAGUGCAGCAGCAGCUGCUCAUGUGUAGCGUACGCGUAUGCCAGUUGGCUUGAAAAUUAA
rnacentral:rRNA from 1 species